rnacentral:rRNA from 1 species
GAUGAACGCUAGCUACAGGCUUAACGCAUGCAAGUCGAGGGGAAACGGCAUUGAGUGCUUGCACUCUUUGGACGUCGACCGGCGCACGGGUGAGUAACGCGUAUCCAACCUUCCCAUUACUGUGGGAUAACCUGCCGAAAGGCAGACUAAUACCGCAUAGUCUUCGAUGACGGCAUCAGAUUUGAAGUAAAGAUUUAUCGGUAAUGGAUGGGGAUGCGUCUGAUUAGCUUGUUGGCGGGGUAACGGCCCACCAAGGCGACGAUCAGUAGGGGUUCUGAGAGGAAGGUCCCCCACAUUGGAACUGAGACACGGUCCAAACUCCUACGGGAGGCAGCAGUGAGGAAUAUUGGUCAAUGGACGGAAGUCUGAACCAGCCAAGUAGCGUGCAGGAUGACGGCCCUAUGGGUUGUAAACUGCUUUUGUAUGGGGAUAAAGUUAGGGACGUGUCCCUAUUUGCAGGUACCAUACGAAUAAGGACCGGCUAAUUCCGUG